rnacentral:lncRNA from 1 species
CUAAGAUGGUGGGUGGCCCGCCGUGACUGGUCUCUGAAUGUGGUUAGCACUCAAGGUCUCUGUGGCAGUUGGCCUGCUCCAGAAAGAUGGCUUCAUGGGAAAAGAGGUGCAGAAUACAAUGUCAAUUGGAAGUGAAGUCGACAGAUAAGAAAGUCAAUUUCAUUACAUCAUGUAGCGCUUGUUUGCCACAGUCACAGUCUGAACUUCAAUGUCAGAUAAUCCGAAUCCAAGUACUGACCUUGGAAAAGAGCAUUAACCUAUCUGCAUUUGCCUUAAAAAAACACCAAUGA